rnacentral:misc_RNA from 1 species
AACUUUCAGCAAUGGAUCACUUGGCUCUCGCAUCGAUGAAGAACGCAGAGAAAUGCGAUAAGUAAUGUGAAUUGCAGAAUUCAGUGAAUCAUCGAAUCUUUGAACGCACCUUGCGCCCUUUGGCAUUCCAAAGGGUAUGCCUGUUUGAGUAUCAUGAAAUUCUCAACUCUCCUCGGAUUCCAUCCGUAGGGUGAGCUUGGACUUGGAGGUUUCUACUGGCGUUCGCCGGCUCCUCUUGAAAUCAUUAGCUUUGAGUUGAUCUUGAUGGCUUGGCCGGUGUGAUAAACAUCUACGCCGAUUCAUGCCGUCCUGAGCGACGACGUCGGAUACUCUCUGGCUUAUAACCGUCUUCACUGAAGGACGUCGCCCUGAACCUUUGAUCUCAAAUCAGGUAGGACUACCCGCUGAACUUAAGCAUAUCAAUAAGCGGAGGCU